AUUGAACGCUGGCGGCAGGCCUAACACAUGCAAGUCGAACGCGUGGCGGACGGGUGUGCAAUGUCUGGGAAACUGCCUGAUGGAGGGGGAUAACUACUGGAAACUGUAGCUAAUACCGUAUACCAUCAGAUGUCCCCAUGUGGGUCUAGCUUGUUGGUGGGGUAACGGCUCACCAAGGCGUCGCUCCCUAGCUGGUCUGAGAGGAUGAACAGCCACACUGGAACUGAGACACGGUCCAGACUCCGACGGGAGGCAGCAGUGGGGAAUAUUGCACAAUGGGCGCAAGCCUGAUGCAGCCAUGCCGCGUGUAUGAAGAAGGCCUUAGGGUUGUAAAGUACUUUCAGCGGGGAGGCGUUACCCACAGAAGAAGCACCGGCUAACUCCGUGCCAGCAGCCGCGGUAAUAC
rnacentral:rRNA from 1 species